rnacentral:rRNA from 1 species
ACUCGAGUAUAUACAGUAUUAAAGGCAGAAGAUCUCAUCUGAUAUUGGAAGCUCAAUAAUGCCAGCCUUGGCUAGUACUUGGAUGGGAGACCACCAACGAAUACCAGGCUUUAUUUCAGAA